GUUCUUACUUUGUUAGCACAUAUACAAAAAUUGGAAUGAUACAGAAGAGAUUAACAUGCCCCCUCUACAAGGAUAACAUACAAAUUUGUGAAGCAUUUCAUAUUUUU